rnacentral:rRNA from 1 species
UGAUUAAGCCAUGCAAGUCGAGAGGGUUCGGCCCUCGGCGUACUGCUCAGUAACACGUGGAUAACCUGCCCUAAGGAAGGGGAUACCCUCGGGAAACUGAGGAUAAUACCCUAUAGGUUACCGAUGCUGGAAUGCUCGGUAACUCAAAGUUCCGGCGCCUUAGGAUGGAUCUGCGGCCGAUUAGGUAGUUGUUGGGGUAACGGCCCAACAAGCCCGUAAUCGGUACGGGUUGUGGGAGCAAGAGCCCGGAGUUGGAUUCUGAGACACGAAUCCAGGCCCUACGGGGCGCAGCAGGCGCGAAAACUUUACAAUGCGGGCAACCGUGAUAAGGGAACCUCGAGUGCCUGUACAUGCAGGCUGUCUGGGUGUCUAAAACACACCCAAAGAAAGGGCCGGGCAAGACCGGUGCCAGCCGCCGCGGUAAUACCGGCGGCUCGAGUGGUGGCCACUUUUAUUGGGCUUAGAGCGUUCGUAGCUGGGUUGUUAAGUCUCUUGGGAAAUCCGGCGGCUUAACCGUCGGGCGUCUAAGAGAUACUGGCAAUCUUGGAACCGGGAGGGGUGAGGGGUACUUCGGGGGUAGGAGUGAAAUCCUGUAAUCCUCGAGGGACCACCUGUGGCGAAGGCGCCUCACCAGAACGGCUUCGACAGUGAGGGACGAAAGCUGGGGGAGCAAACCGGAUUAGAUACCCGGGUAGUCCCAGCCGUAAACGAUGUGCGUUAGGUGUAUCGACGACCACGAGUCGUCGAGGUGCCGAAGGGAAACCGUGAAACGUACCGCCUGGGAAGUACGGUCGCAAGGCUGAAACUUAAAGGAAUUGGCGGGGGAGCA